AGGACUCAUUAGGGAUGCAGCAAUUCUACUGCUGCCUUCCAUUUUCAGAGAGGACUCAUCCUUUCUAUGCACUCUACUGGAGGAGCCAAGCGUGCCUACUCCAGCAAUCAUGCUCCGUAACACACACGAGGGGAACCCUUUGCAGGCACAAAGGAUAACCCUAUACCUGGAUGGUAUACAGGUUUUGACUGAGGACAGCAGCAUGGACAUAUCAUAUGCUAUGAGUGCAUUAAUGUCACUUUAUUUUGUUUUUGCUGUCCAGUACCCAAAGGAACUGAGAACAACUCUUAUUUUCAUUGAAAGAUUUGUGUUGGGGAUCAAGGACCACAGUGUUGUACCCAUUUCAGUGAAGAGACUCUACAACUGUGUCGGAAGUGGGGAGUAGUGAGUAGAUGUGUUGCAGCAUGGGAUUUCAUGCUUUAUGUUCUUGUUAAUGGUCAAAUUCCUGCUGCUGCCCUUUGUUUGUACAUAUUGAUUAAAAAAAAAAUCCCUUAUUUAAUACAUAUUUUGGACCAAUACAUUUUGUUUGAUUUUGGCAUAGUGACGUCUCUAGAUUUCCAUUAUUGUUACAAUACGUAACAUUUUGAGUACUUGUUACAUAACACUGAAAAUUAUUUCAACAUUAUUUAUAUCAAUGUGAAAACUUUGUGGGAUUCCCUCACUUACCGACUCAGUGGCCUAGUGGUUAGAGUGUCCGUCCUGAGAUCGGUAGGUUGGGAAUCCCGGCCGAGUCAUACCAAAGACUAUAAAAAAUGGGACCCAUUACCUCCCUGCUUGGCACUCAGCAUCAAGGGUUGGAAUUGGGGGUUAAAUCACCAAAAUGAUUCCCGGGCGCAGCCACCGCUGCUGCCCACUGCUCCCCUCACCUCCCAGGGGGUGAUCAAGGGUGAUGGGUCAAAUGCAGAGAAUAAUCUCGCCACACCUAGUGUGUGUGUGACAAUCAUUGGUACUUUAACUUUAACUUUAACUUGAACUUUCUCAUGAUUCUGUUCCACUGUCACAAUUAGUACAUACAGUAUGUACACUGGUUAUUUUCAUUGGACCAUGCAUUAUUUUGUUGUUUGUAGAUAGCUUACAAUAAGGCGCAGUAAAUGCAGUAAAUGCACCUUGGAUUGAUUAAACUAAAACUAUUUUGUGUCUCUUUCUGCCAUGUCACCAUUGCUGGAGAUUUAUUUACACAAAUUCACCUACUAAGGACAGCAUGAUGUGUCUGGCCUGUCAUGUUGCUGAUUCCACUGGACCUAUGCUGACUUUUGACCUGUUCUCCCCUGGGACCUACACAGCCUCUCCUGUUUUGUUGGACUAUCUUUAAAUAAAUGUUUUUCUCAUUAAAA